GUCGCGGAACGCCUUUGUUCCUUGUCGCAUAGCAUUUGUUCCACAACAUUUGUCGCGUAACGUGUUUGUCCCAUCACAUAUGUUGCAUAACACGUAUGAUUUGACCUUUGGUGGUGUGACUUAAUCUUGGAAACCAACGAGAAUUUUGUGCACUUUUUGCGCCAAGAGGACACACAUAAAUGUGUGUGACGGAGCGUUUUGGUGGAAGAGCGAAGAGCAGAGGCUGAGAGCAGGAGUGAAGAAAAAGCAAGAGCGAAGGAACUGCGUAUAUGGAUAGACGUGGAAACACACAACUAGAGACACAGGAGGUAUCGGGCAAGUCGUAGGUAACAAUGGGAGGAGAGGAACAUAAAGCUCGCGAAUUUGCGCGAAUUUUAUGGAGUUAUGUUGGACUUCUUUUUUACAGCAGUUGCUUUUUACGAAAAGGGAGGAUCUACAGGGACCGUCGUGAGGCGUAUGAUACAGUCAAAUUGCUGGAGAAUUUGCGGGUGCUGAAUCUUCAGUGAAGGCGAACUAAUCGGAAGAAAAAAAGGAAAAGAAGGAAAGAAAAAAAUGCUCUUUUAAGAGCCACCAAAUCUAUGAAAGAAUAUGAGCGGUUUGAAAUUGUGUAUACAUUCUUUUUAUGUAGGUGAAUUAUUUGCAAGGGAAUUUUUAUGCCGGUAAAUUGAACAGUUAUAAGGAAAUUUUUAUACGUUUCAUUGAAUAUUUAUGAGGGAAUUUUUAUGUGUGAUUUGAAUAUUUAAAAGACAAUGUUUUACGUGUGAGGCAAGUGC